rnacentral:rRNA from 1 species
CAGGCCUAACACAUGCAAGUCGAACGAGGUAGCAAUACCUAGUGGCGGACGGGUGAGGAAUACGUAGGGAUCUGCCCUUAAGUGGGGGAUAACCCGGGGAAACCCGGAUUAAUACCGCAUGAUCUCGCAAGAGCAAGGAGGGGGACCGCAAGGCCUCUCGCUUUUGGAGGAACCUACGUCGGAUUAGCUAGUUGGUGAGGUAAUGGCUCACCAAGGCUACGAUCCGUAACUGGUCUGAGAGGAUGAUCAGUCACACCGGAACUGAGACACGGUCCGGACUCCUACGGGAGGCAGCAGUGGGGAAUAUUGGACAAUGGGCGAAAGCCUGAUCCAGCAAUACCGCGUGUGUGAAGAAGGCCUUCGGGUUGUAAAGCACUUUAAGUUGGGAAGAAAAAACUUUACUUAAUACGUGAAGUCUUGACGGUACCGACAGAAUAAGCACCGGCUAACUCUGUGCCAGCAGCCGCGGUAAUACAGAGGGUGCUAGCGUUAAUCGGAUUUACUGGGCGUAAAGCGUGCGUAGGCGGUUUGAUAAGUCGAUUGUGAAAGCCCUGGGCUCAACCUAGGAAUUGCGGUCGAUACUGUCAGACUAGAAAACGGUAGAGGGAGGUGGAACUCCAGGUGUAGCGGUGAAAUGCGUAGAUAUCUGGAAGAACACCGAUGGCGAAGGCAGCCUCCUGGGCCUGUUUUGACGCUGAGGCACGAAAGCGUGGGUAGCAAACAGGAUUAGAUACCCUGGUAGUCCACGCCGUAAACGAUGAGAACUUGACGUUGGUUUGCUUAGCAAAUCGGUGUCGUAGCUAACGCGAUAAGUUCUCCGCCUGGGGAGUACGGCCGCAAGGUUGAAACUCAAAGGAAUUGACGG